CAGUUUGCAGCCAACAGCACCAGUUCGGCCAUCUUUGCUUUGCUUUCCUUCAGUUCGGUUAGUUCGUGAGGCGCUGUCCGUUCCGGAUUUCGUCGAAAGUUCGGUGGGUUUCCGGUCGUUUUGCCCAUUCUUGGGUAGGGAUAAGGCUCACAUCUUGCCCGUGUAAGAGAUUGCAGAAAGCCCGCCUGCCGCCAAGAUACAUGAAGCCAGGAACCAGUCGGAGAAGGCGAAAGAAAAAAAAAUGUAAGGAAACUGCGCGACAACUAAACAAAACCGGAUCUAGCAGAGCAGUCGCGUAAUAUUUUUUCUCUACUAACCAUCAAAAAGGAAGAAAAAUCCCCGAAGAGAUUUCUAUUGGAAUUGACGCGUUCGACGAAUGUUAUUGUUAAUUUUUCAUUCUCUAAAUUCGGAGAAAGUCGUUCUUUGAAUUUCACAAAUUGUUAGUUGCUGUCAGGCCGUCACGAGCC